rnacentral:rRNA from 1 species
UACGGAGGGGGCUAGCGUUGUUCGGAAUUACUGGGCGUAAAGCGCACGUAGGCGGCUUUGUAAGUUAGAGGUGAAAGCCCAGGGCUUAACCCUGGAAUUGCCUUUAAGACUGCAUCGCUAGAAUCGUGGAGAGGUAAGUGGAAUUCCGGAGUGUAGAGGUGAAAUUCGUAGAUAUUCGGAAGAACACCAGUGGCGAAGGCGACUU